rnacentral:rRNA from 1 species
AUUGGACGCUGGCGGAAUGCUUUACACAUGCAAGUCGAACGGCAGCACGGACUUCGGUCUGGUGGCGAGUGGCGAACGGGUGAGUAAUAUAUCGGAACGUGCCCAGUCGUGGGGGAUAACGUAGCGAAAGCUACGCUAAUACCGCAUACGAUCUACGGAUGAAAGCGGGGGAUCGCAAGACCUCGCGCGAUUGGAGCGGCCGAUAUCAGAUUAGGUAGUUGGUGAGGUAAAGGCUCACCAAGCCGACGAUCUGUAGCUGGUCUGAGAGGACGACCAGCCACACUGGGACUGAGACACGGCCCAGACUCCUACGGGAGGCAGCAGUGGGGAAUUUUGGACAAUGGACGCAAGUCUGAUCCAGCCAUUCCGCGUGCAGGACGAAGGCCUUCGGGUUGUAAACUGCUUUUGUACAGAACGAAAAGGUCUCUACUAAUACUAGGGGCUCAUGACGGUACUGUAAGAAUAAGCACCGGCUAACUACGUGCCAGCCGCCGCAGUAA